GGAUCAAUGAAGAAAACCAAAUGUCAUGAAGAGAAGUAGUGACAUAAAAUUCAUGCACAAUAGGAUUACAGUGAGGCCC